CCACAGCUACAACCGCUCGAUUUGAAGUUUACAAGUCCUUACGGCACUUCAUUCGGCGAGUCUAAGUAUAUAA
rfam:Jeotgalibaca sp. PTS2502, complete genome.